UACGUAGGGACCGAGCGUUGUCCGGAAUCAUUGGGCGUAAAGAGCGUGUAGGCGGCUUGUUAAGUCUUGCGUGAAAUCUCGGGGCUCAACCCCCGAGCGGUCGUGAGAAACUGACAGGCUAGAGUGCGGGGAGAGGAGAGUGGAAUUCCUGGUGUAGCGGUGAAAUGCGCAGAUAUCAGGAGGAACACCGGUGGCGAAGGCGGGUCUCUGGGCCGAUACUGACGCUGAGGAGCGAAAGCGUGGGGGAGCAAACAGG
rnacentral:rRNA from 1 species